CGCUUCGGAGCUCAUCUCGGUGAGAUUAUUGAAAAGGGGUGUCGAUUAGAUCGAAAGAUGAGACUUCGUUGAGUGAUUGAGGGAUCGAUUAGAUCGGACAGAGAGAGGGAGAUGAUGAAGCUUGCUGCUUUUGUGGUUCUGUCUCUUGUGUGAACGUAGAUCACCUGCCGUUAACUUAGCCGUCAAGUUGGUGACUUUUUCCUCCGUCUAUUUUAGGUACUAAGUCAACGAUCCGGAUAACAUGGCAUCACAUCUAUCUAUCACAUGACUGCUAUAAAUACACAUGCUUAUGCCUUUCACAUCUGCUUUUAUCAUUUAUUCAACCAAAUAAGGUCAUUACUUUACAUGUUGAAAAAUUCAAUACAUUACAUGUUUGGCCAACUAUAAAUUACUCGAAA